UACUAUAUAUAUCUAGCUAUUCUACUUGUGAAUAUAUACUCUGAAGAAUUGAAAGUAGAGACUCAAGUAUUUGUACACUUAUGUUCAUGGCAGCAUUAUUAUAAUAACCAAAAUGUGUAAGCAGACCACAUGUCCAUUGAUAGAUGAAUGGAUUUAAAAAAUGUAGUGUAGCCCGGCGCUCCCUCCCCACCCCCCAGGUCCGCCAGCCGCCACCAUGUCCGCCUCGGCUGUCUUCAUCCUCGACGUCAAGGGCAAGCCCCUGAUCAGCUGCAACUACAAGGGUGAUGUGGCCUUGAGUGAGAUCGAUCACUUCAUGCCUCUGCUAAUGCAGCGGGAGGAGGAAGGUGUGCUGACCCCACUACUGAGUCAUGGACGGGUCCACUUCCUGUGGAUCAAAUACAGCAACCUCUACUUGGUGGCCACCACACUGAAGAAUGCCAACGCCUCCCUGGUGUAUUCCUUCCUCUACAAGAUAGUGGAGGUAUUCUCUGAAUACUUCAAAGAGCUGGAGGAGGAGAGUAUCCGAGACAACUUUGUCAUCAUCUACGAACUGCUGGAUGAGCUUAUGGACUUCGGCUUCCCACAGACCACAGACAGCAAAAUCCUGCAGGAGUACAUCACGCAGCAGGGCAACAAGCUGGAGACGGGCAAGUCACGAGUGCCACCCACUGUCACCAAUGCUGUGUCCUGGCACUCGGAGGGCAUUAAGUACAAGAAGAAUGAGGUCUUCAUCGAUGUCAUAGAGUCCGUUAACGUGCUGGUCAAUGCCAACGGCAGUGUCCUGCUGAGUGAGAUCGUGGGCACUAUCAAGCUCAAGGUGUUUCUGUCGGGAAUGCCAGAGCUGCAGCUGGACCUCAGUGACCGUGUACUCUUCGAGCUCACUGGCCGGAGCAAGAAGAAGUCUGUGGAGCUGGAGGAUGUGAAAUUCCACCAGUGUGUGCGGCUC